rnacentral:rRNA from 1 species
UAGCAGUGAAAUGCGUAGAGAUGUGGAGGAACACCGAUGGCGAAGGCAGCCCCCUGGGUCGACACUGACGCUCAUGCACGAAAGCGUGGGUAGCAAACAGGAUUAGAUACCCUGGUAGUCCACACCCUAAACGAUGCCAACUAGGUGUUGGGGAAGGAGACUUCCUUAGUACCGUAGCUAACGCGUGAAGUUGGCCGCCUGGGGAGUACGGUCGCAAGAUUAAAACUCAAAGGAAUUGACGGGGACCCGCACAAGCGGUGGAUGAUGUGGAUUAAUUCGAUGCAACGCGAAAAACCUUACCUACCCUUGACAUGCCAGGAAUCCUGCUGAGAGGUGGGAGUGCCCGAAAGGGAGCCUGGACACAGGUGCUGCAUGGCUGUCGUCAACUCGUGUCGUGAGAUGUUGGGUUAAGUCCCGCAACGAGCGCAACCCUUGUCAUUAGUUGCCAUCAUUUAGUUGGGCACUCUAAUGAGACUGCCGGUGACAAACCGGAGGAAGGUGGGGAUGACGUCAAGUCCUCAUGGCCCUUAUGGGUAGGGCUUCACACGUCAUACAAUGGUCGGUACAGAGGGUUGCCAAGCCGCGAGGUGGAGCCAAUCCCAGAAAGCCGAUCGUAGUCCGGAUUGCAGUCUGCAACUCGACUGCAUGAAGUCGGAAUCGCUAGUAAUCGUGGAUCAGCAUGUCACGGUGAAUACGUUCCCGGGUCUUGUACACACCGCCCGUCACACCAUGGGAGUGGGUUUCACCAGAAGUAGGUAGCCUAACCGCAAGGAGGGCGCUUACCACGGUGGGAUUCAUGACUGGGGUG